ensembl:piRNA 21ur-4048 ncRNA
AUCUCGCUUUGACUUCAAUUG